rnacentral:rRNA from 1 species
UACGUAGGGUGCGAGCGUUGUCCGGAAUUACUGGGCGUAAAGAGCUCGUAGGUGGUUUGUCGCGUUGUUCGUGAAAACUCACAGCUCAACUGUGGGCGUGCGGGCGAUACGGGCAGACUGGAGUACUGCAGGGGAGACUGGAAUUCCUGGUGUAGCGGUGGAAUGCGCAGAGAUCCGGAAGAACACCAGUGGCGAAGGCGGCCCGCUGGGCAGUGGCUGACGCUGAGGCGCGACAGCGUGGGGAGCAAACAGG